rnacentral:rRNA from 1 species
ACACUCCUGCGGGAGGCAGCAGUGGGGAAUAUUGGACAAUGGGCGCAAGCCUGAUCCAGCCAUGCCGCGUGAGUGAUGAAGGCCCUAGGGUUGUAAAGCUCUUUCACCGGUGAAGAUAAUGACGGUAACCGGAGAAGAAGCCCCGGCUAACUUCGUGCCAGCAGCCGCGGUAAUACGAAGGGGGCUAGCGUUGUUCGGAUUUACUGGGCGUAAAGCGCACGUAGGCGGACUAUUAAGUCAGGGGUGAAAUCCCGGGGCUCAACCCCGGAACUGCCUUUGAUACUGGUAGUCUUGAGUUCGAGAGAGGUGAGUGGGAUUCCGAGUGUAGAGGUGAAAUUCGUAGAUAUUCGGAGGAACACCAGUGGCGAAGGCGGCUCACUGGCUCGAUACUGACGCUGAGGUGCGAAAGCGUGGGGAGCAAACAGGAUUAGAAACCCGUGUAGUCCCAUG